rnacentral:tRNA from 1 species
GGGGCUGUAGCUCAGUGGUAGAGCGCUUGCCUAGCACAAGUGAGGCACUGGUUUCAAUCCUCAGCACCC